UGGGUAACCUGCCUCAAAGAGGGGAAUAGCCUCCCGAAAGGGAGAUUAAUACCGCAUAAUAUGUUUUAAUCGCAUGAUUUUAACAUCAAAGGAUUUUCUUCGGAACUUCCACUUUGAGAUGGACCCGCGGCGCAUUAGCUAGUUGGUGAGGUAACGGCUCACCAAGGCAACGAUGCGUAGCCGACCUGAGAGGGUGAUCGGCCACAUUGGAACUGAGACACGGUCCAGACUCCGUAGGAACGG
rnacentral:rRNA from 1 species